UAGGCACAACCUUGAAGCGGUGGAGAAUAGAGAAGCAUCACUCCAGGUUUGAAAAUUUACAUCGGAGACUGUGAUUAUCCAUUAAGUUAUUUUAGGUUGUGGAUGCGUAGUGCAAGUCAAAGGAUCUGACAACGUAAGGGAUCGCAAGAGGCAAAUGCACAGGGAAGUAUUCAAUCAAUCAACCAGGAAUUGAAUAACUUUGAUUGGAAACUUUGUGUUUGUGAAGAUUUAUAUGUGUCUAAUAAUAGCAAUAGCAAUAUACUUGGUAUUCAAUUAUUGUUUGAGGUGCAAUGUUUUUUCUAUAGAGAGUUUGGACUUUUAGAAUCUUUAGAUCAUGUUAAUGUGGGUUUUUUCUGCAAGGGCUUAAUGAUGUUUUUUGGAUGCUUUGUAUUACUGGCAGGGGCACUGAGAACCCGUGGGCUAUCCCCCUGAAGAACAUUUUGACGGUAUCAUCUCCAUUGAACUCCCUUGGCACAACAUACAGAAGCUAAACAACGACUAGACGUGUAUUGCGAAAAGACCAAGCUAUACAGACGAAUAUAUAGCAUGUGCAUCUUGCAGCUAGGAGUUUCUGGAGAUCAUAAAUCUUCUUGCUGUACCGAAGGUCAUGUUUAUAAAGAAGCGGAGCCAAGGUAACUAAGUUGCUAAAUAUAUUCAGCACAAUAAUAACUUGCUUAUACUUAUUUAAAUUGGUCCACUUACUCGACUGAAAAUGGUGGUUGUGGAUUCCACGGUUACCACAACAUUUCAUACGGAGCACAAGGUUAGAGUUUUCUUACAACUAUAUAAUUUGCUUCAUAAUAAUGAUUUUUGAUUUUUUGUUUUUACUAAACUUCUACUUUGUAGUUAGCCAAAGACAUUUCUUUCUGUCUAACUUUGUCAAUAUCAGAAGAUCACAUGAAGAUUAGUGAAUGGUCGAGGGUUGAUGUUUAUGUCGAGAUAUUCGAAUAGAUUUUGUAAUAAAUUUCAUCAAAUUGUGAGAAAUAAUUUUCAUGACUAACAAUUGUUUUAACAGGUUUAUUCAUUAGGAUGCUGCUCGAGAGAUAUUUUGGUCCCACUAAAGGUGAAGAUAAUGCAAAAUGGGGCUCAAUUGGUACAUAUGUACUUACAGGAGAAGACACGUAUACACCGAUGCAUUGGUUAUUCUAAACUUCCAUCUUCCGGCAUCAAAUGAAGUUGAGUAAUUCGCAUUUACUUUCAACUUUUGUUCAAGUAGAAUACAUAAGAACCUCUUUAACGUUCUCAUUGAUAAAUGUUUCUAGACAUGACCAUUGUGACAUGUCCUUUAAGCUAUAUGAAUCGGCACGAUAAGGAAUGGUCGGAGUCCUUAAACAUGACUAUAACGAAAAUUCUCUAAACCCAUUUCUUAUCUCAUUUUUAUUUUCCAUUAAAUGCGUAUAAUAUUCUUAAUUUUUAAAUUAUUCUCAACACAAGGUUGAGCAUAGAUAAUUAGGAGGCCGACUGAUUGAAUUAGGCAUGGGACGUGACCAACUUUUAAAAAUGCUGGUGAUUGUUGUUUAAUCUAUGCUAAUGAUCAGUUAGGUAUCAUAUUGUUAUCAUUGUAGGUAGUUCUUUUGCUUAAUCAGUUGCAGCCUAAGGAAAUGAAUCCGAUGCCAUAUCCAUUUCUAGGGCCCCCACGUUGGGGAUCGAUCCCUCAUCAUCCAUACCUCACAACAUGAUGUAUACAGACUACGAAUUAGGUCAAAACAACCUUCCAAACUACCGAUAUGUAUCUUUCUAAGACCAUUCCUGUUUGAAAAACAUUGCGGUAGUGGAAUUUGUUUGAAUGCUUCACUAUCAAUAUCAAAAGGUUUUUUCUUUACAUGCUUCAAAAAAAAAAUAUCAAAAGCGCUAAUCAUUUUAGGUAUUGUCUAAUUUUUUAAAAGGAAGGUUCACAUGAAACUUUCAACGCAUUCCAUUAUUUUUCAUUUCAUAAAGCACGAAUAGUUUCCCUAUCUAAAGAUUUCUUCCUUGAUACAUGCCUCCUUUUUGUUUACUACGUACCUUUGCAAGUACUUAUGGGCAAAAAUGAAUAUCAUGGUACAUUACUGAUGAAAUUAUCUGGUAAGUAUCUGGUAAGGUACACUAACGUUUUCAUCACUUUGUACACUAAACUUGAGAUUACGUUGUUGGGGUAAUAUGUGUGCAUGAAGUCGUGAAUCAGGUACACUGUCUUCUUGCUACUCUUCUGACUUGCUCAUGUGCUUGAUUAAUCGUUCUUGCUGUCUUAACUCAAAUGGAAGAACACAUGAUUGUCGACCAUGCAGUUGUGGGUUCAACUCCCACAGACGGCAUUGUUAUUUGACUAGGAUAAAACCUACAUACUUCCAAUAGCAAUAUUAGCUAUCCAUUGCGUAGAUUUAAGAGUAUCAUGAUUUCUGGCUCCAAUUAACUGAAGAGUUUGUCCAAAAUUUAGAAGGAAGUAAAUCAAGGACAGUGGGAAGAAGUCUUAGAAGCUUUCGAAAUCAUUGGGUGCCGUCUUGGGUGACUGAUCUAGGCCACUCUUCUCCGUUCGUUCAGCACAUGGUAUGAAUAAAUAAAAUAUAUAUGUUUAACGUAAUUGUGUUGGUUUUUAAAAUUUAUAGUUUGAUUAGUUUGUUAUUCAUGAUUGAGUAGGUUUUCAUGAUACUUCCUUAACCUUAAGGCUUAACUAUGAUACUGUUGAUGGUUUAGCUGCUAAGAGUGGUAAACGCUUCGUUCAUAACUCCUGCAAACAUCUCCUUGACAUGGUUUAGCUUAAGUACUGAUUCAAUUUGGGUUUUUGCAUACUCAUUUUAGAUUGAAGGUACUGACCAAAGAUUUCUCCAAGUGGCUUACUUUUACCAGUAUGGUACUUCGAUAUUAUUUCUUCCGUCUCGAGGGUAUUGAUCGAAGAGUUGCUUUGAGAAGUAUGUUGCUCGCUGCACCAAACAUACGAAUUGAUCCAUCGAAUAACAUGGAAGAGCAACUUUUCUUCUUCUUCAAAUGAAUCAUGCUACAUUCGAAGCAAAAGUACACGUAAACGAGCAGAUAGCCCAGAUUUCAUAGGUAAAGAGGCGGGCGAUCAAGCUGGAAACGAUGAUUUUGACGUCAAUGAACAAUUGAGAUAAGAAGGAGAAAACAAUCUACUACAUGUCUUUUUAGAGUGUUUAGUCGAUGAUCUGAACAUGUGUUUACUACUAAGUUGUUUAUCAUCUUCUGCCAAGGGUUGUAUUUCUUUUAUUUACGAUUAAUCAACUCAUGAAAUCAAUCUGCAUGAAUAUACAGGUCAAGUAAUUUGAUUCCGUGCAGC